AGGCCACAACGAAUGAUUACGAGA
rnacentral:siRNA from 1 species